rnacentral:rRNA from 1 species
CCUACGGGAGGCUGCAGUCGAGAAUCUUCCUCAAUGGCCGAAAGGCUGAAGGAGCGACGCCGCGUGCAUGAAGAAGCCCUUCGGGGCGUAAAGUGCUUUUAACUGGGACGAAUCAAUGACGGUACCAGUUGAAUAAGGGGCUGCUAACCUCGUGCCAGCAGCAGCGGUAAUACGAGGGCCCCAAGCGUUAUCCGGAUUUAUUGGGCGUAAAGCGUCCGUAGGCGGUUUGUCGCAUCUCCUGUUAAAUCCUUCGGCUCAACCGAGGGGCAGCGGGAGAGAUGGAUAAGCUAGAGACUGGAAAAGGCAAGUGGAAUUGCUGGUGUAGGGGUUAAAUCCGUUAAUAUCAGCAAGAACACCAAAUGCGAAGGCAACUUGCUAGGACAGUUCUGACGCUCAAGGACGAAAGCGUGGGUAGCGAAUGGGAUUAGAUACCCUGGUAGUC